CGAUGACGUAGAGUGAGAAUAAGCCCCGGCCAAUUACGUGCCAGCAGCCGCGGUAACACGUAUGGGGCGAGCGUUGUUCGGAAUCAUUGGGCGUAAAGGGCGCGCAGGCGGUUAAAUAAGCCUGGUGUGAAAGGCUACGGCUCAACUGUAGUUUCGCGCUGGGAACUGUUUGACUAGAGUUCUGGAGGGGAAGCUGGAAUUCCUGGUGUAGGGGUGAAAUCUGUAGAUAUCAGGAAGAACACCGGUGGCGAAGGCGAGCUUCUAGCCAAGAACUGACGCUGAGGCGCGAAAGCGUGGGGAGCGAACAGGAUUAGAUACCCUGGUAGUCCACGCUGUAAACGAUGUGCACUGGGUGUUGGCCCUUGAGGGUCAGUGCCGAAGCUAACGCGAUAAGUGCACCGCCUGGGGAGUAUGCUCGCAAGGGUGAAACUCAAAGGAAUUGACGGGGGCCCGCACAAGCGGUGGGGCAUGUGGUUUAAUUCGAUGAUACGCGAGAAACCUUACCAGGGCUUGACAUAUACCAGACGUUACGAGAGAUCGUGAUUCCCUUCGGGGCUGGUAUACAGGUGCUGCAUGGCUGUCGUCAGCUCGUGCCGUGAGGUGUUGGGUUAAGUCCCGCAACGAGCGCAACCCUUGUUGUCUGUUGCUAACAGGUAAUGCUGAGGACUCAGACGGAACUGCCGGUGACAAACCGGAGGAAGGUGGGGACGACGUCAAGUCAUCAUGGCCCUUAUGUCCUGGGCGACACACGUGCUACAAUGGUCGGUACAGAGCGAAGCAAGACCGCGAGGUGGAGCAAAUCGCAGAAAGCCGGCCCCAGUUCGGAUUGGAGUCUGAAACCCGACUCCAUGAAGGUG
rnacentral:rRNA from 1 species